GGGGGUGACUGGCUUCGACGGGAAGCAAGAGGUCAACAGAGCGUGUCGAGCUCUCGGAGUCUCGUUAAACCUUCGGGAAAACAUUAAUUGCCAACGAACCUUUGGCUCUCGCGGCUUAAUUGACCGCGACGUCUCUCCUCUCUUUGUCUGCGGGAGGGGAAGAGGCGACACUUUGCAGGCUGGUCCAAUGCUGAUGCUCAGAGGCGGCGGAUGAGAACUUUCUGGGCUAGCGGUCGUUCUAAGCCGGCUCAUGGGCGUGGGCGAGCGCGAAUAUGAAAACAUGGGCUACACAUGUAGAUCCGUUGUGCUGAAGUUCUUCGGACAGGGGUUCGAAUCCCCUCACCUCCACCA
rnacentral:tmRNA from 1 species